GGGGCAUCAUGGGCACCCCCAAGUUUAUAAUUGGCUGGGCAGAAACAUGGGUAGCUUGGAGACACCCCAUUUGUAGCUGGUGUCUGAAGUGGGGUCAGUCAUGUGGGACUGAGCCUUUGCCCUGUGUGGUCUGGGCUAACUCUGGGCAGUUAGUGUCAGAACCGAAUUGAAUUGUUCAACACCCAGUUGAUGUUGAAGAGCUGGAGAAUUGAUUGGUGUUGGAAUGACCUAUUUAUCAUUGGAAAAGACACCACACAGUUGGUGUCAGAAAAAGGCCCACACACCUAUUCAUACUGAUGUCUUCAAUGUAGGUAUUGAUUUCUGCCUUAACUGACCUCUAUCAUCUGUAGAUCACCAAAAAAGACCCCAUGGAUAUUGGAACCACUUUUACUCUGUGCAUACAUGUUAGAAGAGAGAGCAUCAUUACCUCAGGACAUAGACAAAGG